rnacentral:rRNA from 1 species
CCUACGGGCGGCAGCAGUGAGGAAUAUUGGUCAAUGGACGAGAGUCUGAACCAGCCAAGUAGCGUGAAGGAUGACUGCCCUAUGGGUUGUACACUUCUUUUAUAUGGGAAUAAAACGUUCCACGUGUGGGAUUUUGUAUGUACCAUAUGAAUAAGGAUCGGCUAACUCCGUGCCAGCAGCCGCGGUAAUCAGGAGGAUCCGAGCGUUAUCCGGUUUUAUUGGGUUUAAAGGGAGCGUAGGUCGAUUGUUAAGUCAGGUGUGAAAGUUUGGGGCUCAACCGUAAAAUUGCAGUUGAAACUGGCAGUCUUGAGUACAGUAGAGGUGUGCGGAAUUCGUGGUGUAGCGGUGAAAUGCUUAGAUAUCACGCAGAACUCCGAUUGCGAAGGCAGCUUACUGGACUGCAACUGACACUGAGGCUCGAAAGUGUGGGUAUCAAACAGGAUUAGAUACCCCAGUAGUC